rnacentral:rRNA from 1 species
CCUACGGGUGGCAGCAGUAAGGAAUAUUGGACAAUGGGCGCAAGCCUGAUCCAGCCAUGCCGCGUGAAGGAUGAAGGCCCUAUGGGUCGUAAACUUCUUUUAUACGGGAAAAAACCCCCGAUUGCGAUCGGGGUUGAUGGUACUGUAAGAAUAAGGGUCGGCUAACUUCGUGCCAGCAGCCGCGGUAAUACGAAGGACCCGAGCGUUAUCCGGAUUUAUUGGGUUUAAAGGGUGCGUAGGCGGAUUGAUAAGUCAGUGGUGAAAGCCUCUCGCUCAACGAGAGAACUGCCAUUGAUACUGUCAGUCUUGAGUAUGGUUGAGGUGGGCGGAAUGUGUCAUGUAGCGGUGAAAUGCUUAGAUAUGACACAGAACACCGAUUGCGAAGGCAGCUCGCUAAACCAUAACUGACGCUGAGGCACGAAAGCGUGGGGAGCAAACAGGAUUAGAUACCCUGGUAGUC